UAUCCCCACGUGAGGAUUAACAAAACAAAAAACAACAACAACAAAAAUGGUGUUAGAGCUAUGCUAUCUACUAUGUUAGCCACUGUUAUAAUUAGCUAUUGAGCAUUUAAAAUGUGGCUAGUUUGAUUUGAGAUAAGCUGUACGGUAAGUAUAAAAUACACACCAGAUUUUGAAAACUUAUUGCAAAAAAAAGUGUAAAAUAGCUUGUUAAUAAUUUUUAAUGUUAACAUGUUGAAAAUUUUUUUUGAUGCAUUGUUUUAAAUAAAAUGUUAAUUUAACCUGUUUCUUUUCCCUUUUUAAGUUUGGCUGGCUAGAAAAUUUGUAGUGGUUUACAUUGUAUUUCUGUUGGACAAUGUUGUUUCUAGUGGGUUGGAUAGAGGACAAAUAUGAGGAGCAGAACUCUAGUUCUUAAAAGGUGCAUUGUCAUCAUUAUCUGUUUAGAAUAGCAGCUUUUCUGCUAACUUAAAAUUUGUUACGUUGUUUCUGUAUAUCUUUUGUAUGUCCUGCUGAAAUCUUUAUGUGUGUGAAGGCUUAUGUGGCAGGGAUUAUACUCAUAGCUGGUGAUACUAAAAAUACAGGAGUUGCCAAAACCGGUUUGGCUCAGUGGAUAGAGCGUUGGCUUGUGGACUGAAGGGUCCCAGGUUCGAUUCCGGUCAAGGGCACAUACCUUGGUUGUGGGCACAUCCCCAGUGGUGGGGUGUGCAAGAGGCAGCUG